AUUGGACGCUGGCGGCAUGCCUUACACAUGCAAGUCGAACGGUAACAGGUCUUCGGAUGCUGACGAGUGGCGAACGGGUGAGUAAUACAUCGGAACGUGCCUAGUAGUGGGGGAUAACUACUCGAAAGAGUGGCUAAUACCGCAUGAGAUCUACGGAUGAAAGCAGGGGAUCGCAAGACCUUGUGCUACUAGAGCGGCCGAUGGCAGAUUAGGUAGUUGGUGGGAUAAAAGCUUACCAAGCCGACGAUCUGUAGCUGGUCUGAGAGGACGAUCAGCCACACUGGGACUGAGACACGGCCCAGACUCCUACGGGAGGCAGCAGUGGGGAAUUUUGGACAAUGGGCGCAAGCCUGAUCCAGCAAUGCCGCGUGCAGGAAGAAGGCCUUCGGGUUGUAAACUGCUUUUGUACGGAACGAAACGGUCUGGGUUAAUACCCUGGGCUAAUGACGGUACCGUAAGAAUAAGCACCGGCUAACUACGUGCCAGCAGCCGCAGUAACAC
rnacentral:rRNA from 1 species